rnacentral:ncRNA from 1 species
UCUAAGAUGCCGCCCGCCGGUUUCCACCACGGAACUAACAGGGAAUGCCGUACCUGCUGCGCAGGAAAACGGAACUGCCCCCGCAACUGUAGGUGCCGAGCUCGCUCCAUAGGCCACUGGGAUGUCCCCGGGAAGGCGGAGUCGGGCCAUGACGCAUCAGUCAGGAGACCUGCCGGCGCCACUCAUUCACC